rnacentral:rRNA from 1 species
CAGUCGCCACGGUAAUACGGAGGGUGCAAGCGUUAUCCGGAUUUAUUGGGUUUAAAGGGUCCGUAGGCGGAUCUGUAAGUCAGUGGUGAAAUCUCACAGCUUAACUGUGAAACUGCCAUUGAUACUGCAGGUCUUGAGUAAAUUUGAAGUGGCUGGAAUAAGUAGUGUAGCGGUGAAAUGCAUAGAUAUUACUUAGAACACCAAUUGCGAAGGCAGGUCACUAAGAUUUAACUGACGCUGAUGGACGAAAGCGUGGGGAGCGAACAGGAUUAGAUACCCGCGUAGUCCCUGUCUCUUAUAC